CACUUGGAGUGUGGUGCUCUUACACUGCCAAUUUCCUGGUGGCUAACCCACUGUGCUUCCUGCUGGAAAAAAAAGUGCUCUGGCAUCUGGAGCUCCCCUCUAUGCCCAAGUGAGCUUGAGGCGUGGAUGAGUUUCUCCUCCCUGCUCAGGGGCAGCUGAGGCGCCACUGCUUUUUUGUUUGGCUUCCCUGUAUUUCAUCGCACAGCAGUUACAGCUUGCUUCAGCCAGUGGGCUAGCAGCUCGACCUUUCUACCCAUAGGAUACACUCCUCUCUGCAGCAGGGCAGAGUGUCUGAAGAACCUGAGUGUGGUGGGUACAACUGCAGCUUGUGGCUGCCAACUCCAGCCCUUGGUGUUCCAGCUCCUGCCAGUGGGCUUCAGGCUGCACUCUGAGCCCAGACACCCAUCUUCUUGGCCUCUACUGCAGCUAACAGAGAGCGGCGUCCACCCCUCUUCUCCAUGGUCAGAGAACCUGCUGAGAGGUGCCACGCCCUUCCCAAGGACCUGUGCUGGUUUUAUCCUGUUUUUACCUUUUGGUUUCAUGGUGUGUGUGUUGGUGCGUGAGUGAGGGUGGGCAUUGUUUAUUUAUUUAUUUUUAAAUGCUCAAACACUAUUACCGACCCUUUAAUUAUUAUUCCCCCCCCCCCUCGUCUUUUUUAGGGCAGAGUGUAGCGACGAAGCGUGUCGGGCGACAACAGUGGCAAUCUCCUCUGUGGGUCGGCCCAGCGUUCCGUUGGUAAGCCUCGGCCCUCGAAGGGCCCCCCCCCCAUUUUUUUCCCCCUCCCCAGCGUGAUUGAGUCCCUUGUUUUUAAUACAUUUUAGCAUUAAUAAAAUUGUGUUUAGACCGGUUACCACGUCUUGGCCU